CAUCUGUGUGCCCCUGUCUUACAGUUCUCAUAGCAAGGAGAUGGGACAUGUGCUGCGACUGUUUCUAACCCUGAGGUGGUUGCACUGUGUGUGUUUUGCAGCUGAUGUUCUGCAGAAGCCACCUCUGCUAAUUUCUAAUCCAAAGCUGAACAUCUCCCUGACCUGUGAGCAUCAUGACAACACUUUCAACACCAAGCUCUGGUACUUUCAGAAGAAGGGACAGCCGCUUACACUUAUUGGAUACAAAUAUAGGGAAAAUCCUCCUGAGAUGGAAAAAGAUUUUAAAGACAGAAUGAUCAUCCAGUCCCAGACUGACCAGAAAAGUAUCCUACAGAUUAGGAGCAUCUCUAUCCAGGACAGAGCAGUGUAUUACUGUGCCAGCAGCAUCCACAGUGACAGAAGGAUACAGGGGGACUGUGCAGAAAUUAGAGACAGACCCCUCCCAGAAGCAAAGACAGACAAAUAA